rnacentral:rRNA from 1 species
UACGUAGGGACCAAGCGUUGUUCGGAUUUACUGGGCGUAAAGGGCGCGUAGGCGGCGUGGUAAGUCACUUGUGAAAUCUCUGAGCUUAACUCAGAACGGCCAAGUGAUACUGCUGUGCUAGAGUGCAGAAGGGGCAAUCGGAAUUCUUGGUGUAGCGGCGAAAUGCGUAGAUAUCAAGAGGAACACCUGAGGUGAAGACGGGUUGCUGGGCUGACACUGACGCUGAGGCGCGAAAGCCAGGGGAGCAAACGGG